UGGUGUUUUAAAUAUUUUUGGUUUAGUUUUUUUUUAUUGAUAUUUUAUCAAAUAAAAUUGUAAAGGAAAUUACCUUUGGAUAGUCAAACAUAAACAUUCUUUUUGUGUUCAUUUUUUUUUACAAUUUUUAGUACCUAAUACUUUAGGGUACUGCUAUUAUCAAUUGAGUACUAAUGUAGUCAAACACUAACCUUUUUAAUGUGUUGAUAGUUAUAUGUCAUUAAUGCAAAGUCCAGUGUGAGCUUUUGCUUUCGCUUGAGAUACAUUUUUAUCGUCCAUCAUUCUUAAACAUUUGAUAAGAUAACUUGAAAUUAUUGAACUAAUUCAAAUAUUACUUCAUGAUUAAUUUUUCUGUUUCUUAGUUUAAGUUUGUUAGUUUUGAUUUGGUACAUCAACCGAGGUGAACAUUAUGCAUAGGUUAAUAAAACAUUAGGGUUGAAUGCAGGUCGUUGAACAAUAUGUUAUACAUCAUAUUAAUACAGAAGAGAUGACAAGGAUGCAAUAAUGAUCCAAAUGUAAAGAUGUGUUCUUGCUCUCUACUUGUAACACUAUUAUGACAACUUUUGGCAGAAGUGAUUUUUUGUCAAUUUUGUCAAUUUUACGUUUGAAAAGUACAUUAAUUUUGAAGAUAAAAGUGACAGUUCACAUCAAACCUGAUCAGCAAAACAAGUUCCACAAAAAAAAAAAAAAAAUGAUAUUGCAAAAUUUCAGAUUUUAUUUAAAGAUGUAUUCUCCUGACUAAAUCUUGUUGAAAUCUGGUUCUGGAAUUAUUUCCAAAACAUGUAAUAGAAGUGGAAAAUAUCAAUAAAUUUUUAAAAUGUUAUAAUCAAACUUAACUCUGUGAAAAAAUUGGGUAUUUAUAAUAAGUAGUUUUUGAGAAAUAAUUUUUUCCAAUUUCAUUACCAAUUAAGUAAGUCUUUUUAGCUAAAAUUUGAGAAAAUUGGUGAGGGGUACAAGAAACGAUUUUACCAGAAACAUGUACAUGCCAAAUCACUUUAUUCUGUCUAAAUUUCUUAGAUAUCUAUUUUUUCAAUCGUUUAUAACAUAGAAGUUGAAAUAAUAUGCAUUUUGUUCUUAAAACAAAAGAAAUCAGGUACUUUCAAAGGGCUGAUGCAAAAAAUUGAAAGUUCACAAUCAUGAAUUUUUCUUCACCACUAAUUUUUAAAGUCAUAAAUCUAAAAUUCUGGAUUAAAAAAAAUAGUUUAAAUUCUAGAAAUUUUGGGCUCCUCAGAGGUGUACAUCCUUAAAUAAGCUACAGAGCAGAUGGAGUUGCCAAUGACAUAUUAAAAGUAAUAGUCAGAAUUUAUCCCAAGAAAUAUGUUAGUGUAAUUUUGUAUUUUCUAUGAUAAUCAAUGGUGAACAGAUUAACUAUUGUGUACUGUUAUGUUACUUUAAUGUUUUGUUUUUUGCUUUAGUCUGUUUUAUUUGUUAAAAUUAACAAGGC
rnacentral:lncRNA from 1 species